rnacentral:rRNA from 1 species
CUCAGAAGCAGCUAUCCUUUAAAAAGUGUGUAACAACUUACCUGCCGAGCGUGGGCGCCCCGAAAACGGACGGGGCUAAAGCAAAGUACCGAUACUUUAGAUACUUGUACAUUUACAAGUCAUGGUAGGUUGGCGUAGUGAUUGGGUCGAAGCAGGGCAGUGAUGUCCUGUGGACCGAUUUCUAUUGCAGAUCCUGGUGGCAGUAACAGCAUAGUAGUGUGAGAACCACUACCACCGCAAGCGCAAGGGUUUCCAGGCAAUGCGUUAUCAGCCUGGAGUUAGUCGAUCCUAAGAAUUACCUCAACAGAGUAAUUCGAAUGGGAAACUGGUUAAUAUUCCAGUACCUUGCUUACACGUUAUUAUCUAUAUGAAUUGCUUCUAGAUAGGGGAUGUAGAACUAUCGUUUUAUCUAACUGUUUGAGAUUCGGGGAGUGUCGUAAUGACGAGAACUGAAUCGAGGCAGGAAUGGCUCUGCGUUAGCAGAGUUUUCCCAACUCCAGGAGACCAUGAAAGAUCAUAUAGAAAGUGUUAGCAAGUUCGUACCGAGAACCGACACAGGUGCGCUGGCUUAGAAAGCUAAGGUGCUACGGGUAUACCGUAUGGCGAGGGAAUUCGGCAAAUUAGUCCUGUAGCUUAGGUAUAAGGGAUACCUGCUGUUUUAAUGAGGAAUUGGGACAGCAGGUUGCAAUGACUAGGGGGUUCCGACUGUUUAAUAAAAACACAGGCGACUGCUAGUCCGAAAGGAUUUGUAUAGUCGCUGAAUCCUGGCCGGUGCAGGUACCUAAAACUUGGGUUCAACCGAGCUAAGGGCCUGUUAACGCCGGGAGUAACUCUGACUCUCUUAAGGUAGCCAAAUGCCUUGUCGGGUAAGUUCCGACGCGCAUGAAUGGAACAACGAGAGCCCCACUGUCCCCGCCUACAACCCGGUGAAGCCACAUAAGGUGGACGAACAGUCCAUCAUCUUCCAUCGGGGAGAGAAGACCCCGUGGAGUUUUACUGCAGCUUGUGCUUGUAGUAUAGUACGAAUUACAUAGUGUAUCUGGUAGCCAUGCCUGAAUUUCUUUGGGAAUUCAGUGAAGCGACGAUGUAACACCAGAUUAUUCUUGCAGUACUUCUAAUCUGAUGCAAGUCAGAAACAGGUGCAGGUGGGCAGUUCGGCUGGGGCGGCACCCCUUUGAAAAGAUAUCAAAGGGGCCCAAAGUUUAGUUCAAACGGGUCAGAAAUCCGUUGAAGAGGGCAAAGCCAAAAACUAGACUGACAGGAUUUCCAAACGCACGGAAUUCUGAGACGAAAGUCUGGCUUAGCGAUCCUUCGUGUGCCCACUAUUGGGGCCCGGAGGUGACAGAAAAAUUACCCCAGGGAUAACAGGCUCGUCGCGGGCGAGAGCUCCUAUCGACCCCGCGGUUUGGUACCUCGAUGUCGGCUUUUCCUAUCCUGGUCCUGCAGCAGGGGCCAAGGGUGAGGCUGCUCGCCUAUUAAAAGGGAACAUGAGCUGGGUUUAGACCGUCGUGAGACAGGUCGGUCUCUGCCUGAUGGAAGCGCGGCUGUCUGAGGGGAAGUUGCUCUCAGUACGAGAGGAACAGAGCAACGUGGCCACUGGUCUACCGGUUGUCUGAUAAGGCAGGCCGGGCAGCUAAGCCGUUUGGAUUAAGUGCUGAAAGCAUCUAAGCACGAAACCCAUCCCGAGACAAGACAGCCUUUCGU